GAUGAACGCUAGCUACAGGCUUAACACAUGCAAGUCGAGGGGCAGCAUGUCGGUUGCUUGCAACCGAUGAUGGCGACCGGCGCACGGGUGAGUAACGCGUAUCCAACCUACCCUUGUCCAUCGGAUAACCCGUCGAAAGGCGGCCUAACACGAUAUGCGGUUCACCGCAGGCAUCUAAGGUGAACGAAAUGUGAAGGAGAAGGAUGGGGAUGCGUCUGAUUAGGUUGUUGGCGGGGUAACGGCCCACCAAGGGCAACGAUCGAGUAGGGGUUCUGAGAGGAAGGUCCCCCCACAUUGGAACUGAGACACGGUCCAAACUCCUACGGGAGGCAGCAGUGAGGAAUAUUGGUCAAUGGGCGAGAGCCUGAACCAGCCAAGUAGCGUGCAGGAUGACGGCCCUAUGGG
rnacentral:rRNA from 1 species